UACAAGGUGAAGAGUGCUGUAACUGA
rnacentral:piRNA from 1 species